rnacentral:rRNA from 1 species
AACGAACGCUGGCGGCAGGCUUAACACAUGCAAGUCGAGCGCCCCGCAAGGGGAGCGGCAGACGGGUGAGUAACGCGUGGGGAUCUACCCAUCUCUACGGAAUAACGCAUGGAAACGUGUGCUAAUACCGUAUACGUCCUUCGGGAGAAAGAUUUAUCGGAGAUGGAUGAGCCCGCGUUGGAUUAGCUAGUUGGUGGGGUAAAGGCCUACCAAGGCGACGAUCCAUAGCUGGUCUGAGAGGAUGAUCAGCCACACUGGGACUGAGACACGGCCCAGACUCCUACGGGAGGCAGCAGUGGGGAAUAUUGGACAAUGGGCGCAAGCCUGAUCCAGCCAUGCCGCGUGAGUGAUGAAGGCCCUAGGGUUGUAAAGCUCUUUCACCGGUGAAGAUAAUGACGGUAACCGGAGAAGAAGCCCCGGCUAACUUCGUGCCAGCAGCCGCCGAAAAAC